rnacentral:rRNA from 1 species
GCUAUCACUCCUACGGGGAGGCAGCAGUGGGGAAUAUUGCACAAUGGGCGCAAGCCUGAUGCAGCCAUGCCGCGUGUGUGAAGAAGGCCUUCGGGUUUGUAAAGCACUUUCAGUUGUGAGGAAGGUAGUGUAGUUAACACCUGCAUUAUUUGACGUUACCUACAGAAGAAGCACCGGCUAACUCCGUUGCCAGCAGCCGCGGUAAUACGGAGGGUGCGAGCGUUAAUCGGAAUUACUGGGCGUAAAGCGCAUGCAGGCGGCCUGUUAAGUCAGAUGUGAAAGCCCGGGGCUUAACCUCGGAAUUGCAUUUGAAACUGGCAGGCUAGAGUCUUGUAGAGGGGGUAGAAUUUCAGGUGUAGCGGUGAAAUGCGUAGAGAUCUGAAGGAAUACCAGUGGCGAAGGCGGCCCCUGGACAAAGACUGACGCUCAGAUGCGAAAGCGUGGGGAGCAAACAGGAUUAGAUACCCUGGUAG